CCAAUAGCGUAUAUUAAAGUUGUUGCAGUUAAAAAGCUCGUAGUUGAAUUUCGGGGUCAGUAGGUUGGUCGUGCCACCGGUAUGUACUGGUCUCACUGAUUCCUCCUUCCUGAUGAGCUGUAAUGCCAUUAAUUUGGUGUUGCAGGGAAUCUGGACUGUUACUUUGAAAAAAUUAGAGUGUUUAAAGCAGGCUAACGCUUGAAUACAUUAGCAUGGAAUAAUGAAAUAGGACGUUCGAUCCUAUUUUGUUGGUUUCUAGGAUUGACGUAAUGAUUAAUAGGGAUAGUUGGGGGCAUUAGUAUUCAAUUGUCAGAGGUGAAAUUCUUGGAUUUAUUGAAGACUAACUACUGCGAAAGCAUUUGCCAAGGAUGUUUUCAUUAAUCAAGAACGAAAGUUAGGGGAUCGAAGACGAUCAGAUACCGUCGUAGUCUUAACCAUAAACUAUGCCGACUAGGGAUCGGAUGAUGUUAAUUUUUUAAUGACUCAUUCGGCGCCUUACG
rnacentral:rRNA from 1 species